UACAGAGGGGGCAAGCGUUGUUCGGAAUUACUGGGCGUAAAGGGCGCGUAGGCGGCCCUCUAAGUCAGACGUGAAAUCCCUCGGCUCAACCGGGGAACUGCGUCUGAGAUUGGAAGGCUUGAAUUCGGGAGAGGGAUGUGGAAUUCCAGGUGUAGCGGUGAAAUGCGUAGAUAUCUGGAGGAACACCGGUGGCGAAGGCGGCAUCCUGGACCGAGAUUGACGCUGAUGCGCGAAAGCCAGGGGAGCAAACGGG
rnacentral:rRNA from 1 species